GAUGUAAUGUAGGUUUGGUUGAUACGUAGGGUUAUUGUAAAUUCAAAAGUGGAAGAAAAAAAUGAUUAACUGGGUAUGUUAGCGGAAGAUAGUAAAGUAAUCUGCAGAAGUGGGGAAACUUCAGUGAAUGUGACUUAAUAGCUAGCAAGAGUUCGUUUGUAAGAUACCUGCUGAACGAUAGUUUUGUGUUCUGUUGAACCUGACGUUGUCCCGACGGUGUAGAAAUGGUUAAUGUUCGUAAAAAGUUUUGCGCUCAAAUUGCCAAACAUGGACUUUGAGAAAGGAUGGCCUCCCUGCAGAAGUCGCGUACCAUUGUGCCAUACAGCUUCGAGCCAGUAUAUACCGAUGGUCAGCGUCCACCUAAACGAGCACACAGAUGCAGCAGUAGCAGUGAGGAGGAUGAUGCUUGUGUGACCGCAGAUGAAGACAUGAAAUGGUACACAUGCCAGCUCUGCAUACCAAUGAGUACUGCACGUGAAUGUUACUGCUGUGCAUAAUCGACCUGUGCCAAAGCCAAAAUCAUUGAAAUUCAGCCACCACCACAUUGCAUUACUGCACAUCCACUAUUUGAAAGUACUUGCCUAACGCCACAUAUGCUACACAUCCUUAUGCGAGCCAUGUACUACUUCAAAGGUCAUUUUCAACGUACACAGUGGACAAACAGAGUAUACAGAUUCGUUGCCUACCGAGCAUAUGUGCUAUGGAUGUACAAUAAUAAAAAAACUUGGUUAUGGUCAUCGAGUGGUCAUCCCCUCAUGUGUUGUGAACAGUAUACGGCAAAGAUUCCCCUCGGAGGAAAAUUAUUAUGUUGGCUUUCAGGCUUUUGAAGGUUUUUGGGAGUUUCCAGAGUAGCACUUGAAGAUUACUGUCAAGUUGUUGAAGCAGUCAGAAGCUG